UACGUAGGGUGCGAGCGUUAAUCGGAAUUACUGGGCGUAAAGCGUGCGCAGGCGGUUUUGUAAGCCAGAUGUGAAAGCCCCGGGCUCAACCUGGGAACUGCAUUUGGGACUGCAAGGCUUGAGUACGGCAGAGGGGGGUAGAAUUCCUGGUGUAGCAGUGAAAUGCGUAGAUAUCAGGAGGAAUACCGAUGGCGAAGGCAGCCCCCUGGGUCGAUACUGACGCUCAUGCACGAAAGCGUGGGGAGCAAACAGG
rnacentral:rRNA from 1 species